rnacentral:snRNA from 1 species
AUGCUUAGUUCAGCAGCACAUGUACUAAAGUUGGAAUGAGACAAAGAUUAGCAUGGAUUCUGUGCAAGAAUGACAAAAAAUUUAGGAAAUGUCCCAUGUUUUU